rnacentral:rRNA from 1 species
GAUGAACGCUGGCGGCGUGCCUAAUACAUGCAAGUCGAGCGAAGGGACGAGAAGCUUGCUUUUCUGAGGUUAGCGGCGGACGGGUGAGUAACACGUGGAUAACCUACCUAUAAGACUGGGAUAGCUUCGGGAAACCGGAGCUAAUACCGGAUAAUAUUUUGAACCGCAUGGUUCAAAAGUGAAAGACGGUCUUGCUGUCACUUAUAGAUGGAUCCGCGCUGCAUUAGCUAGUUGGUAAGGUCACGGCUUACCAAGGCAACGAUGCAUAGCCGACCUGAGAGGGUGAUUGGCCACACUGGAACUGAGACACGGCCCAGACUCCUACGCGAGGACGCAGUAGGGAAUCUUCCGCAAUGGGCGAAAGCCUGACGGAGCAACGCCGCGUGAGUGAUGAAGGUCUUCGGAUCGUAAAACUCUGUUAUUCGGGAAGAACAUAUGUGUAAGUAACUGUGAAGAUCUUGACGGUACCUAAUCAGAAAGCCACGGCUAACUCCGUG